UCAAAGGAUUAUUCCUUGUGCUCUCCUCAGGGCAUAAGCUUUGCACCCAUUUCAAAACAAUGUUUUGGACAUGAGUUGUCAUGAAUACUUGGUUGGUGUAUCAGAUUUUACAUGGAAUCUUACAGAACAUAAAUGGAAGCAUUCAUAGAUCCAUGCUUAGGUUAUUGCUAAUACGAUGCAUGACAAUGCUAUUGUGUGUGGUAUGUGAUUUAGAUGACGAGGACACUCCAGUUGUUAAGAAUUUUGGGGAUAGAGCUUCACACGGCUUUCAGUUGGAUGGAACUCUUCAUGAAAAGAAACUAGCUUAGAAAAGUGAAUCAUCCUAUGAAGAGAUAAAGAGUAAUGUGCAGAAGGAACUGGGUUAUGAAGGUAAUGAGAAAAAUGCAUUCAGAAGAACACGCUGCUCGUGCUGCUCUUUACCUUGAGCUUGAGAAGGAGAGAAGUGCUGCUGCUACAGCUGCAGAUGAGGCCAUGGCUAUAAUACCGCGUCUACAAGACGAGAAGGCAUCCAUAGAAAUGGAAGCUUGGCAAUACCAGAGGAUAAUAGAAGAAAAAUCUGCUUAUGAUGCUGUAGAAAUGAACAUCUGUAAAGAAAUUCUUGUGAGGAGACAGAAAGAGAAGCAUUUCUUGGAAAGGGAAGUUGAAGCUUAUAGGCAGAUGAUUCAUAUUGGAAAUUAACAGUUACAAGAUGACAUUCAGUAAAUGGUGAACAUGCAGAGAGAACAGGCUGAUGCUCCAACAGCUAGUGAAUCCAUUGACAAGAAGGAAAUUGUAAAAGAUAAAAGUUCAGUUAAUGAGGUAUUGUCUAUUGAUAAGCAAAACUGUACACCCCUGCUCUUGGAGAGGAAUUAUGAAUUUCCGAAUGGGAUGAAGAAGCUGAUUUUCAAGCAAGUAUAUGUAGAGAAAUCUAUAGUUUCUGGUCUGCAGAAAAAUUUGAUGUCAGCAGCUGACAAUGAAAGAUUGAAAAUUGACAUGGAAGUUGAGUUACUCGGAGAGAGGUUCAGCAUUGUCCAGGAACAAAGACAGAAGCUCAACUUCUCUGUGCACUAUCAGGAAAGGGAAAAAUUUCAACUGCAACUUGUAGAAGAUAUAGCAUAACAACUUCGAGAGAUUUGACAGCUAACAGAACCUAGAAAGGCCGUGCACAAAGCUUCUUUGCCCCUGCCAUCCUCUAAGGGUUAGUCAUCUGGGCUGAACGUAUUGGUUGUCUUCAGACAUUCGCUUCAUCCAUAGAUCUGCUGCAUUCAUUUUAACAGGAUUGUGGGAUCCUCUCUAACAAAAGACAUCAUCAUCGAAUGCAGUUCGCUGGAUCAUUUUCUUGGGUUCCAAGAAUUGCUGCAACAAGCGGAUAAGAGACACCGUCGUCAAUAGCUUCUUCAGCAGUGGGGGGCUGCUGCUCAACAAGGCCAGGGAUUGGCUUUUCCAUGAUUGGUCUUCCAAUGGUCAAGAUAUAUAGGAUACGGAAAAUGAGCUCUACAAGGAAGGAAGGGUGUCAGAGUUUAUGGACCGGAAAUUGAUACCAUCGGCUGUCCUUGAUCAGGUACAAUUGUGCGUACAUAUUGGGAUAAUGUGCACUGAAUAUGAUCCAGAACUACGACCCACCAUGGGUCGUGUUUACUCAAUGCUGUCAGAGAACCAUAGCAACAGCAGCACCCUAUUUGAAGAACCGAUGAGAGAUGGAUCAUCAUCAACAUCAUCCAUAGCUCGAAAUUCGGGUGAGUCCAAUUCCCAUAUCUAUUCUGUUUAAAACUGAUCAUAGUGCUACUGCCACUUCCAAGUGCCCUUUACGUUCAAUGAUUUUCCUCUAAUAAUUUCUUUCUAGUUGACAAAAUACUAGCUUUAUCUAGUCCAACUAGUGUUUUUUUGCAUGAGUGUUUGUGGAACCCAUUACAUAGCAAAAUUUUCACCUUCUGUACCUCAAAUCAAAAUAUUUGUAAGCUAUCUUGUACUAAAUCAAAAUAUUCCUAUAUAAUUUAUUAUUUGAUUCUGCUUCUCCUAUAAUGUACCCUACACAAAAUAUAUAAUUUUGUCACAAAAGUUCUAACAUCAAUUACAAAAUACGUAAUCUCAUCACAAAUUAGCUUAACAAAAUGUCCAAAAUUUUGUGAUUAAUGUUGCAAAAGUUUAUAGUUUAGUUAUGACAUUUUUUGUUACGUCAAUUUGUGACAAACUUAGCAUUUUAAGAUUGAUGUUAUAAAAUUUUAUGAUAAAAUUAUACAUUUAGUGGUACGAUGCAUAUGGUAUGCACACCUAAAGGAGUGCACACCAUAGCAUUUUCGAAAGAAUUUUUUUUAUUAUUAUUUCUUGUGUGAUGUUUUGGUAUGACUAAUCAGUCCUUUUUAGCUAUAACUAAAAAGGAUUUAUUGAUGACAUUUGUGGUAAUAAACAAAAAAAUCACAAAUGUCAUAACUUGUAUAUACAUAUUUUAGCCUGACCCUAUAUAUAUAUACACAUACAUAGACCUCCUAUAUAUAUAUACACACACAGGCCUACAAAAUAAACAACUAUUGUGAUGAACUUCACAGACUCAACUAAAGUGGAGAAGAGAAGCUAGUUCCACAUGUAUAGGGGUGUAAUU